GCCGAAGGAUUGAAUCUCGUUAACACAACGAAAUAAUUAGCUCGUCUCUCUGGAGAUAGACAGCGGUGCAUCUCCUUUUCUGAUUCACGCUUUGUUCCCCGCAAUGGAACAGCUUCGUGACUCAUACAACUAAAGCCAUCAAAGGCGAGGGAGGACUAAUUCUACACUCACUCCAUUUUUCGUGUGUGAAUUGAUCCACAUCUGCAAUCAAUAAUUUC
rnacentral:lncRNA from 1 species